GUACUGAGACACGGACCAGACUCCUACGGGAGGCAGCAGUGAGGAAUAUUGGACAAUGGGAGCAAUCCUGAUCCAGCCAUGCCGCGUGCAGGAAGACUGCCCUAUGGGUUGUAAACUGCUUUUAUACAGGAAGAAAAAGGUGUACGUGUACACUGUUGACGGUACUGUAAGAAUAAGGAUCGGCUAACUCCGUGCCAGCAGCCGCGGUAAUACGGAGGAUCCAAGCGUUAUCCGGAAUCAUUGGGUUUAAAGGGUCCGUAGGCGGGACAAUAAGUCAGUGGUGAAAGUCUGCAGCUCAACUGUAGAAUUGCCAUUGAUACUGUUGUUCUUGAGUGCUUGUGAAGUGGUUAGAAUGAGUAGUGUAGCGGUGAAAUGCAUAGAUAUUACUCAGAAUACCGAUUGCGAAGGCAGAUCACUAACAAUUCACUGACGCUGAUGGACGAAAGCGUAGGUAGCGAACAGGAUUAGAUACCCUGGUAGUCUACGCCGUAAACGAUGGUUACUAGCUGUUCGGGUUAAUUGAGACCUGAGUGGCUAAGCGAAAGUGAUAAGUAACCCACCUGGGGAGUACGUUCGCAAGAAUGAAACUCAAAGGAAUUGACGG
rnacentral:rRNA from 1 species